AUUGAACGCUGGCGGCAUGCUUUACACAUGCAAGUCGAACGGUAACAGGCCGCAAGGUGCUGACGAGUGGCGAACGGGUGAGUAAUGCAUCGGAACGUGCCCCGUCGUGGGGGAUAACUACUCGCAAGAGUAGCUAAUACCGCAUACGAUCUAUGGAUGAAAGCGGGGGACCGUAAGGCCUCGCGCGAUUGGAGCGGCCGAUGUCAGAUUAGGUAGUUGGUGGGGUAAAGGCUCACCAAGCCAACGAUCUGUAGCUGGUCUGAGAGGACGACCAGCCACACUGGGACUGAGACACGGCCCAGACUCCUACGGGAGGCAGCAGUGGGGAAUUUUGGACAAUGGGCGCAAGCCUGAUCCAGCAAUGCCGCGUGCAGGAAGAAGGCCUUCGGGUUGUAAACUGCUUUUGUACGGAACGAAACGGCUCUGGUUAAUACCCGGGGCUAAUGACGGUACCGUAAGAAUAAGCACCGGCUAACUACGUG
rnacentral:rRNA from 1 species